UGGAAAGCACGUGGUCUUUAACUCAGA
rnacentral:piRNA from 1 species